rnacentral:rRNA from 1 species
UAUUGGUCAAUGGGCGGGAGCCUGAACCAGCCAAGUCGCGUGAGGGAGUAAGGCCCUACGGGUCGUAAACCUCUUUUGCCGGGGAGCAGGGCGGCGGGCGUGUCCGCCGUUUGAGAGUACCCGGAGAAAAAGCAUCGGCUCACUCCGUUCCAGCAGCCGCGGUAAUACGGAGGAUGCGCGCGUUAUCCCGAUUUAUUGGGUUUAAAGGGUGCGGAGGCGGGCUUUUAAGUCAGCGGUAAAAAUUCGGGGCGCAACCCCGUACGGCCGUUGAAACUGGGGGCCUUGAGUGGGCGAGAAGAAGGCGGAAUGCGUGGUGUAGCGGUGAAAUGCAUAGAUAUCACGCAGAACCCCGAUUGCGAAGGCAGCCUUCCGGCGCCCUACUGACGCUGAGGCACGAAAGUGCGGGGAUCGAACAGG